rnacentral:lncRNA from 10 species
ACAGGAACAUAAUCUCAUGCAAUUUAUUGCAGAAAAUGGUACAAAGUAAUUAGACCUUUACGAGAAGCACAGUUUUGUCUUCAGUUUCCUCUCCCCCCACCCGGAAUGGCCUGAGCCGAAGCCAGCUCCCUCCGAGAAGUCAUUACCGCCUGACUUGCGUUUGAUAUUUAGACACCUUGGUCACAACAUCUUGCAUUCUCUCGGGAUGCUGAUUUCUAACUGCUCUUUGGCCUUUCCUGCAUUGGUCCUCCUCAGGCAGGGGAUCCCUGCUCUUCUAUAUUAGUGAGAAAACCAAGGCUCAGAGAAACUGUGGAUUUUCUAAGGAUGCUGGCUCCCCGUCCCCUGUCCACCAUGAGUCAAAGCAAUGUGAGUCCCUCACCAGAUGCAACUGCCCAGUCUUGGACUUUCCAGUGACCAGAAUCAUGAGCCAAAUAAACCUCUUUUCUUUAUGAAUUACCCAGCCUCAAGUAUUCUGUUAUAGCA